rnacentral:rRNA from 1 species
AUUGAACGCUGGCGGCAGGCCUAACACAUGCAAGUCGUGCGGUAGAAGGGAUCUGGCUCCUGGCUUCAGCGGAGGACGGGUGUGAAAUGCCUAGGAACCUGCCUGGUAGUGGGGGAUAACGUCCGGAAACGGGCGCUAAUACCGCAUACGUCCUGUGCGAGAUGGUGGGGGUUGUUAGGACCCCGCGCUAUCAGAUGAGCCUGGGUCGGAUUAGCUUGUUGGUGGGGUAGAGGCCUACCAAGGCGACGAUCCGUAACUGGUCUGAGAGGGUGAGCAGUCACACUGGAGGUGAGAGACGGUACAGGCUCCGACGGAAGGCACCGGUGCGGAAUGUUGGAAGAUGGGGGAAAGACUGAUCCAGGGGUGCCGGGCGUGUGAAGAAGGGCUUCGGACUGGAAAGCAGUUUUAGUGGUGAGGAAGGGCAGUAACUGAGUACCUGGCUGUUGUGACGUUACCAACAGAAGAAGCACCGGCUAACUACGUG